CAAGAAGCCGAAAGGCUACUUCAAACCAUCGCGAACUCGUCCACGUUGCUUCGGCGGAGCCGGUUCCCCCACGGGGGGGCCGCCCGCCGGAGGUCACAAACUCUCUCGAAUUAUAGUGGUAUCUCUGAGUAAUAUACAAGCAAGUUA
rnacentral:misc_RNA from 1 species